GAUCAGGUUGGAUUCCAACCCACAAGUUGUGGCUUCUUCUUAUCACCUCAAAAGCAGUAGAGUUGUGAAGUGUGCCUCCAUGUUCCUAGAUCUCGAUAGAUUCGACAAAGCCCAGUUAGCAGUGACAAUGUGAUCCACUUUGUAGAAUUUGCCUCAGAGACUGUAAAAAAAACUUGAGUCAAGUUUUUUAAGUAACUGCUGACUAUGAAACUCUAGUCUGACG
rnacentral:lncRNA from 1 species